rnacentral:lncRNA from 1 species
AAAUUCAUACCUCCCUAGUAUCUUGGACAAAGAAGUGUGUCACAGCAGUCCCUGUAAGGCCCUGGCUAAUGAAGACCACCACCCAGAACAAAUGGACUGCCCCUUGAGAUGAGAAGGCUCAAGUAGGGAAAGGAAGAAAAAUCUAUUUGGAAAUGAAUAUGAUGUAAAAACAGAAGGGACUGAUAAAGCAUUAUGAAGAAAAAAGAAAUAGGCUUUUAUUUGGAAUCUACUUUCAAAGAAUCAUGAUUAUGGGAAAACCACCCACUGCCAUCAGACAAGAAAAACAGCCCUUAGAAUUGUUAUUCCCAUACACCUUCCAGUCGAAAACAGUCCACUGUUUUCAAGGACCAGUUUGCACAGAGUUCUGCUUCUGGGUUGGACUUGACUUAUUCAACAAACAUUUAAGGUUCUACUGUAUGACUCUAGGCACUGGAGCUAAGGAUACUGACACCUAAUGGGAAUUGGUGGUGUCUGAGAUAGAGUACAUGCAACAUGUGCUGCCUCUCACCAAUUCAAGUAGAAGCUUAAUGAGCUUGCUUCCAGGCAUUCAUAUUAAAGGGACCCUUUCCCCAAUUCCUACCAUAUAGAGGUAUUCUGACUCGUACUGGCUUAGUCUAUGGGCAUGAAAGCCUUUUCAAUUGACU